AGGGAUCAUUACUGAGUUACCGCUCUAUAACCCUUUGUGAACGUACCUAACCGUUGCUUCGGCGGGCAGGGGAAGCCUCUCGCGGGCCUCCCCUCCCGGCGCCGGCCCCCACCACGGGGACGGGGCGCCCGCCGGAGGAAACCAAACUCUAUUUACACGACGUCUCUUCUGAGUGGCACAAGCAAAUAAUUAAAACUUUUAACAACGGAUCUCUUGGUUCUGGCAUCGAUGAAGAACGCAGCGAAAUGCGAUAAGUAAUGUGAAUUGCAGAAUUCAGUGAAUCAUCGAAUCUUUGAACGCACAUUGCGCUCGCCAGCAUUCUGGCGAGCAUGCCUGUUCGAGCGUCAUUUCAACCCUCAAGCACCGCUUGGUUUUGGGGCCCCACGGCACACGUGGGCCCUUAAAGGUAGUGGCGGACCCUCCCGGAGCCUCCUUUGCGUAGUAACUAACGUCUCGCACUGGGAUCCGGAGGGACUCUUGCCGUAAACCCCCCCAAUUCUUUACAGGUUGACCUCGGAUCAGGUAGGAAUACCCGCUGAA
rnacentral:rRNA from 1 species